CCCUUAGAGUUUGAUCCUGGCUCAGGAUGAACGCUGGCGGCGUGCUUAACACAUGCAAGUCGAGCGAAGCACUUAAGUCUGAUUCUUCGGAUGAAGACUUUUGUGACUGAGCGGCGGACGGGUGAGUAACGCGUGGGUAACCUGCCUCAUACAGGGGGAUAACAGUUAGAAAUGACUGCUAAUACCGCAUAAGACCACGGUACCGCAUGGUACAGUGGUAAAAACUCCGGUGGUAUGAGAUGGACCCGCGUCUGAUUAGGUAGUUGGUGGGGUAACGGCCUACCAAGCCGACGAUCAGUAGCCGACCUGAGAGGGUGACCGGCCACAUUGGGACUGAGACACGGCCCAGACUCCUACGGGAGGCAGCAGUGGGGAAUAUUGCACAAUGGAGGAAACUCUGAUGCAGCGACGCCGCGUGAAGGAUGAAGUGUUUCGGUAUGUAAACUUCUAUCAGCAGGGAAGAAAAUAGACGGUACCUGACUAAGAAGCCCCGGCUA
rnacentral:rRNA from 1 species